UGCGGCGUGGUAACACAUGCAAGUCGAACGAGAGAGAGAGAGAAGCUUGCUUUUCUUACGAUCGAGUGGCAAACGGGUGAGUAACGCGUAAACAACUGCCCCGCAGAUGGGGACAACAGCUGAAAACGGCUGCUAAUACCGAAUACGGUCCUCUUAGCGCAUGGUAAGAGGAAGAAAGGGUGGCCUCUGGAACAAGCUACCGCUGCGGGAGGGGUUUGCGUCUGAUUAGCUGGUUGGAGGGGUAACGGCCCACCAAGGCGACGAUCAGUAGCCGGUCUGAGAGGAUGAACGGCCACAUUGGAACUGAGACACGGUCCAGACUCCUACGGGAGGCAGCAGUGGGGAAUCUUCCGCAAUGGGCGAAAGCCUGACGGAGCAACGCCGCGUGAGUGAAGACGGCUUCGGGUUGUAAAGCUCUGUUAUAGGGGACGAACGGCCGGGUAGCGAAG
rnacentral:rRNA from 1 species